AGCGAGCAUAUAUUUCCUACAAUGGACGAAAAGUCCUGACUGCCAGCCACUGCCGCGUGUGUGAUGAAGGCCUUCGGGUUGUAAAGCUCUUUUGUUCGGGAAGAAAACGUGGGUUUUAAUUCCGCCGGGGCCUGACCGUUCCCUAACAAAAAGCCCCGGCUUACUUCGUGCCCCCCGCCCCGAUAAUUAAAAAA
rnacentral:rRNA from 1 species